CAGACAGUCCUUAAACAUAAUGACUCAGAGAAUAUUGGAUUAAGCGGAUCUGUGAGCAUUGUUGAUUCUACUUUAAUUAUCACUAAAUGGCCCUUACCUUUUGCUCAGAUGUGACAAAUACAUUGGAACACUUGAUGCUUGCCUCUGGCAAAGUUAUUGUUCCUGUCCACUUAAACAUUCACUCUGACCGCAUUGCAGAUGAAAUGAACAUAGAUAUAUGAGAAGGCAAAGAAUCACUUGCAGAAAUGAUUAGUAACACCUGAUCGAAACUGAAAGAUUUCAGCACCAAUAUUGAAGAUGCUGCCACCUGCAAGAUCAAACAGAUGUACCUUUGCAGGGAUAAAGUAACUCACACAGAUGGUCUUAAAAGCUUCUGGUGACGAAGAUCCACAACAUCCACAAUUAAUGCUGUGAGGGCACACCGUAUGAGUACACAAACAUCGCAACUUGUAACCAUGUUUGAUGUGCUAGGUGACAUA